GCCAGCAGCCGCGGUUAGACCAAGAAGUUGGGCUGUACUUAGUUGGUAAAAAGACGGUUAAACGUUAAUGGAGUAGAAUUGUUUGCUGACCUUUUGUGGAGAGGUAAAAUUUGAGCAUGGGAUGGUAGACCAGCAGCAAGUAAUGGUCUGUUGAAGCUGUGAUGGCCUUGGGGGAAACUGGGAUUAGAUACCCCAUUAUUCUUGGCUGUAAAUAGAGUUAAGUUUACCAGAGUACUACGAAUGGCUGUAAGAUUUAAAACUCAAAGGGCUUGGCGGUGUUUUAGACCUCUCAGGGGAACCUGUCUCGUAAUCGACAAUCCGCGUUAGACCUGACCUUUUCUCGCGAUCAGUCUGUAUACCAUCGUCGUCAGGUAACUUUCAAGAAGUGUAAAAGUUAGCGACGUAAAUGCGAGGGCAUGAGUUAGGACGUCAGAUCAAGGUGCAGCUUAUGGAAAGGGGAGGAUGGGUUACAAUUAUUGAGUUGUAAUGACGGAAAUGGGCAACUGAAAUGGGCUGUUAGAAGGAGGACUUGAAAGUAAAAUAGAUUAUAUAAGUGGUUUGAAUGCGGCUCUGAAGCGUGCACACAUC
rnacentral:rRNA from 1 species